UAUUUCUUUAGAGCAAUCUGGGCUAAUAGAGCAAAUUGGCACUGAGCAGUGGGGCAUUGCUAUCACGAUACCUGAAAAUGUGGAAGCAGCUUGGGAACUGGGUAAUGGGCAGAGGUUAGAACAGUUUGGAGGGAUCAGAAGAAGACAGGAAGAUGAAGGGAUGUUUGGAACUUCUUAAAGAUUGUUAAAUUGUUGUGACCAAAAUGCUGAUAGUGAUAUAGACAGUGG